AUGAAUAACCAUGGAAAGAUUAUACUUUUUGGAUGCGCACUUUUACAUAAUGAAAUAAUGUUGGCAUUUCGUUGGUUAAUGAAGACUUUUAUAAAUUUGAUGAAGAAUCAACCGAGGACUACAUUAACCGACCAAGAUCCAUGGAUGAAAGAAGCAAUCUCGAAAGAAAUGUCAUCAACAAAACAUAGUUUUGUAUAUGGCACAUAA